rnacentral:rRNA from 1 species
AUUGAACGCUGGCGGCAGGCCUAACACAUGCAAGUCGAACGGUAACAGGAAGAAGCUUGCUUCUUUGCUUACGAGUGGCGGACGGGUGAGUCAUGUCUGGGAAACUGCCUGAUGGAGGGGGUUAACUACUGGAAACGGUAGCUAAUACCGCAUAACGUCGCAAGCCCAAAGAUGGGGACCUUCGGGCCUCUUGCCAGCGGCUUUGCCCAGAUGGCAUUAGCUAGUAGGUGGGGUAACGGCUUACCUAGGCGACGAUCCCUAGCUGGUCUGAGAGGAUGACCAGCCACACUGGAACUGAGACACGGUCCAGACUCCUACGGGAGGCAGCAGUGGGGAAUAUUGCACAAUGGGCGCAAGCCUGAUGCAGCCAUGCCGCGUGUAUGAAGAAGGCCUUCGGGUUGUAAAGUACUUUCAGCGGGGAGGAAGGGAGUAAAGUUAAUACCUUUGCUCAUUGACGUUACCCGCAGAAGAAGCACCGGCUAACUCCGUG